rnacentral:rRNA from 1 species
GAUGAACGCUGGCGGCGUGCCUAAUACAUGCAAGUCGAGCGAACAGACGAGGAGCUUGCUCCUCUGACGUUAGCGGCGGACGGGUGAGUAACACGUGGAUAACCUACCUAUAAGACUGGGAUAACUUCGGGAAACCGGAGCUAAUACCGGAUAAUAUAUUGAACCGCAUGGUUCAAUAGUGAAAGACGGUUUUGCUGUCACUUAUAGAUGGAUCCGCGCCGCAUUAGCUAGUUGGUAAGGUAACGGCUUACCAAGGCAACGAUGCGUAGCCGACCUGAGAGGGUGAUCCGCCACACUUGAACUGAGACACGGUCCAGACUCCUACGGGAGGCAGCAGUAGGGAAUCUUCCGCAAUGGGCGAAAGCCUGACGGAGCAACGCCGCGGGGGGGAUGAAGGUCUUCGGAUCGUAAAACUCUGUUAUUAGGGAAAAACAAAUGUGUAAGUAACUAUGCACGUCUUGAAGGUACCUAAUCAGAAAGCCACGGCUAACUACGUG